CAAUAGCGUAUAUUUAAGUUGUUGCAGUUAAAAAGCUCGUAGUUGGAUUUCGGAUGGGAUUUGCCGGUCCGUCUUUACGAUGUGCACUGGCCAGUCCUAUCUUGUUGUCGGGGACUAGCUCCUUGGAUUCACUUCCUGGGACUAGGAGCUGACGAGGUUACUUUGAGUAAAUUAGAGUGUUCAAAGCAAGCCUACGCUCUGAAUACAUUAGCAUGGAAUAACACGAUAGGACUCUGGCUUAUCUUGUUGGUCUGUGAGACCAGAGUAAUGAUUAAGAGGGACAGUCGGGGACAUUCGUAUUUCAUUGUCAGAGGUGAAAUUCUUGGAUUUAUGAAAGACGAACUUCUGCGAAAGCAUUUGUCAAGGAUGUUUUCAUUAA
rnacentral:rRNA from 1 species